rnacentral:rRNA from 1 species
UAACCUGCUAAAUAGCCAGGCUAACUUUGGUUGGUCGCCGGCUUCUUAGAGAGACUAUCAACUCAAGUUGAUGGAAGUUUGAGGCAAUAACAGGUCUGUGAUGCCCUUAGAUGUUCUGGGCCGCACGCGCGCUACACUGACAGAGCCAACGAGUUCUUUUCCUUGUUCGAAAGAAUUGGGUAAUCUUGUUAAACUCUGUCGUGCUGGGGAUAAAGCAUUGCAAUUAUUGCUUUUCAACGAGGAAUGCCUAGUAAGCGCGUGUCAUCAGCAUGCGUUGAUUACGUCCCUGACCUUUGUACACACCGCCCGUCGCU